rnacentral:lncRNA from 1 species
UGGGAUUAAAAGGUGUUAAAAAUUAUCAUAAAAAGUUACUACGCAGACUCGGGUUUAUCCAAUAAUGAAAUUACAACACAGCAUUUUUAGAUUUGAAAUUAACAUUACUCAACCCUUUUAGAUUUCUCUGAAUAUGCUUUCUUGAGGUGUGCUUUCCUGGAAUGUGCUGGGUGUGCCAGGCGGUUGGAUCCAGUUUUCAUCAUCAUGGCUGAACUCUGAAGAAAAACCAUUAGCCUCAGACAUCUUGGAUCAAGAAAGGGUACCCGCACCCAGACCCUGCAAAAGAGCCAACAUCUAUAUGCAGAGGAGAGUACAGAACCAGGUGGUGAAGAAGGUGCUGGGCGAGGGCGACGCCGGCGGCAGCGGGGACUGGCCCGACUUCCGGGUCCCAGUGGAAGGCCAAGCACCCAGGUUUCCCCCUUCCAGGAACCCGGAAGCACCCGGGUCGAGGCCUACCUGGACGGAUAAAGGGAGCCCGGCGGGUCGCUUACCGGGAGGACCAGGCAAGGGUGUAGGGGAGGAGGAGCCCUCAGAACCCCUGGACUCAGCAGAGACGGAGUGCCGUUUCCGAACUGCAUGUGCCACAAUAUUGGGAACCCCUAAGUUACCAUCAAAGUCGUGGCAGAUUCUCUGCAUGGCGAAGCCAAGAAAUUGGAUUGUACGGUCUAGGAGCUGCUUCCUGAAUUCUAUGGUGUUGUUCACAAUUCAGUUCUCCUGGUCAUCAUCCGCCCUAAGCACCUCCUAGACUUCCUCCCACCAGUCAUCCAUGGAGGACACUUGGGUUUGUGCUGCCUCCACCAAAGUCUCCAUUAUGUUCUUUUUGGAGCAUUGCUGACUGCACCAGUAUUCUUGCAUAUACAUAUAUACAUAUACAUAUACAUAUACAUACAUACAUAAUCAUAUAUAUAUAUGAAAUCAUGGCAUGUCCUAAAAAAAUGAAUAUAUAUAUCAGAAUUCUUGGAUGGAAGUUGUUCA